rnacentral:rRNA from 1 species
CCCAGUGUAGGAGUGAUAUCCGUAGAUAUUGGUAGGUACACCAGUGGCGAAAGCGGCUAUCUGGACCGUUACUGACGCUGAUAUGCGAAAGCGUUGGGUAGCAAACAGGAUUAGAUACCCUGGUAGUCCACGCCGUAAACGAUGAGUGCUAAUUGUUGGGAACGUAUAGUUUUCAGUGAUAAAGUUAACGCGCUAAGCACUCCGCCUGGGGAGUACGGCCGCAAGGUUAAUACUUAAAGGAAUUGACGGGGACCCGCACAAGCGGUGGAGCAUGUUGUUUAAUUCGAUGAUACGCGAAGAACCUUACCUACUCUUGACUUCCUGGUCGCGAUUUUGAGAAAUCAUUAUCUUCAGUUUGGCUGGACCAGUGACAGAUGGUGCAUGGUUGUCGUCAGCUCGUGUCGUGAGAUGUUGGGUUAAGUCCCGCAACGAGCGCAACCCUCGCUGUUAGUUGCCAACAGGUAAUGCUGGGAACUCUAACAGAACUGCCGGUGAUAAGCCGGAGGAAGGUGAGGAUGAUGUCAAAUCAGCAUGUCUCUUACGAGUAGGGCUACAAACGUGCUACAAUGGCAACUACAAUGAGCAGCCACUUCGCAAGGAGGAGCUAAUCUUUUAAAAGUUGCCUCAGUUCAGAUUGUCCUCUGCAAUUCGAGGGCAUGAAGUUGGAAUCGCUAGUAAUCGUAGAUCAGCAUGCUACGGUGAAUACGUUCUCGGGUCUUGUACACACCGCCCGUCAUCUCAUGGAAGCUGGUUCUACCUGAAGACCGGUGGGCUAAUCUGGCAGCCGUCCACGGUAGGAUUACUGCCUAGGAGCAAGUCG